rnacentral:rRNA from 1 species
AGCGAACGCUGGCGGCAGGCUUAACACAUGCAAGUCGAGCGGGCACUUCGGUGUCAGCGGCAGACGGGUGAGUAACACGUGGGAACGUACCCUUUGGUUCGGAAUAACGCUGGGAAACUAGCGCUAAUACCGGAUACGCCCUUUUGGGGAAAGGCUUGCUGCCGAAGGAUCGGCCCGCGUCUGAUUAGCUAGUUGGUGGGGUAAUGGCCUACCAAGGCGACGAUCAGUAGCUGGUCUGAGAGGAUGAUCAGCCACACUGGGACUGAGACACGGCCCAGACUCCUACGGGAGGGAGCAGUGGGGAAUAUUGGAGAAUGGGCGCAAGCCUGAUCCAGCCAUGCCGCGUGAGUGAUGAAGGCCUUAGGGUUGUAAAGCUCUUUUGUCCGGGACGAUAAUGACGGUACCGGAAGAAUAAGCCCCGGCUAACUUCGUG